UAAUGAUUUUAUUUUUUGGAUUAUAUGGUAAAUAUAUAAUUUUUAUUAUAAUGAAAAUAUAGAUGUUUCUUUGUAAUAUUAAUUACAUAGAAUUAGUUCCAUAGUGGACUCUGAUUAGGGUUUGUAAAACGGAUUGAAACGGUUUAAUCUAGUUUUUAUUUGUGAGGUGGGUUGAGAUUUCGAGUCUGCUACCACUAGUUUGUCCAUCCCACCUAAUCCGCUAAAAAAAUGAGACAGAACUGAACAGAGUCGGCCCCAACUAUCUGGAAGUCGUGCUCGAAUGUUAAAAAUGGACACUGAUAAAAAAAAAUUAAAAAGAAUAAUCCUUUAUUACAGAAUGUUAUAUCUAGUACUGGAUUACAUGAAAUAAUCUAAACUAUAAUUACAACUCAAACAUCUCUAUUUUAUUUAUAUACAAGAUAGUUUACAAUUAUAAAGAUUAUAUCUAAAAGUUUUUCUCCGUGCCAAAGCUUCUGUCAAUGAUGUACCUGUCUUAUCUGAAGAAAAAAAUAGAGUGUGGGUUGAGAUAAAAUCUCAAACUACCCUCAACCCUUCUAACACGAAUAACCGGAUUUUCUAACUGCCUAUCAUCAGAUAAAAUAGAAUAAGAUAAUUAGUACAGUUUCUAUUCAACGGUAAUAAAUAAAAGUUGAACACACAAGUAUUAUUAUCUUGUCAACUUUACUCUACAAGUCAACUGAGCGUGAGCGUUCUCAGAAGCCUUGCCUAUCCGGAUGGAAAUAUCAUCGCGGACAUCUACUCAUCAUUCUUAUUUCUUUGCACUUGUAAACUUUUCAUACUUAUGCCUAUACCAAUUCUAAUACUUUCUAGAUCGAUAAAUUAUUGAUCUCAACAUAUUUAUAUUCACAAUAAUAUGUCAUUAUUCUCUAACCACAAAGGUUCAUUCUUAUCUUUCCUUUAGUUAUAAAUUAAAAGGAAACUAUGCUCAUUGGGGAAAAAAGGGUAUCUAUGAGCAUUAUUUCCAAUUCUCUAAUUAAUUAACAAUUUUCUAUUAAUAAAAUUGAUUCUCUUUUCAAUUAGUUCUAAUGUUUUGAACUAACAUUAUCUUGUUAAGAACCCACUUGGGGUUGGUCUAGUGGUGUUGGCUUAGGUCCUUGGAGUAUGCUCCUCUCAAGGUCUCAGGUUCGAUUCCCCCAUUGCCAAUUUCGGUGGGCUAAGUACAUACGGAGCAAAAAAAAACUCUGUCUUUAAAUGGGCCCCCGCAAGUGGGCGGUGGGAUUGGUCUCCUUGGAUUAGUCGGUCCUAAGGCCGGAUACCAAGUUUUCAAAAAAAAAAAAAAUUAUCUUGUUAAGUUUCCAAACUAAGGGAACUAAUGCUCAAUGGGGAAAAUUGUCUAUGAGCAUUAUUCUAGUUGCAAUCUAAUUACUCUUCAACUAUGAUUAAUAUUUUAAUCACUUUCCUAUAGUUCUAUAAUUAUAAGAAUUAAUCCUAAGUAAAGAAAACUUAGAUUACUACUCUAUUGUGCCUCUACUAACAUUAAAACCCUAAAAAUUACACAAAAAUAGCAGUAACGAACCUGCACCUCUUUGGGGUUUGAUGGAAUGAUAACUUUCAUGCAUCAUUUUCUCUGAAUCAAAUCUCCUCUUGAUUUCUAUUUGAUUCCAUCUUCUCCAUUUUGGUUCCCAAUUAAAAACCCUAAUUUAAUCAUGAGUCUUUAGCCCACAACUUCUUCUUCUAUCUUCUACAUUGAGUCUUCUGAUUAAUUACCCAUUGAAACUCAAAAAACCACAUGAUUUUGCAUGUAAGGCUGUUACAAAUGGAAUGGAGAAGAGAAUGCAUUUGAGAUGAAGGAGAGUAUAGAUCGGAUUCGGUGUACAGAGAGCCAAAUAGGAAGUGAAAUGAAUUUUCUUUUUCUUUUC
rnacentral:lncRNA from 1 species